rnacentral:rRNA from 1 species
GACGAACCGAGCGAACGUUAUUCGGAAUCACUGGGCUUAAAGGGCGCGUAGGCGGGCCUGAAAGUCAGGGGUGAAAGCCCCCGGCUCAACUGGGGAGGGUCACGCGAUACUGAUCGACUCGAAGGCAGGAGAGGGAAGUGGAAUUCCCGGUGUAGUGGUGAAAUGCGUAGAUAUCGGGAGGAACACCAGUGGCGAAGGCGACUUCCUGGCCUGUUCUUGACGCUGAGGCGCGAAAGCUAGGGGAGCAAACGGGG